AUGAACGCUGGCGGCGUGUAUAACACAUGCAAGUCGAACGGACCUUGAAGAAUUGAAGCUUCGGCUGAUUUUCUUCUCUGGUUAGUGGCGAACGGGUGAGUAACACAUAAGUAAUCUACCCUCAAGUCUGGAAUAACUCUUCGAAAGAAGGGCUAAUACCGGAUAAGCUUUUUUAAAUGCAUAUUUUUAAAAGGAAAGGGGCAACUCGCUUAAGGAGGAGCUUAUGCCUGAUUAGCUAGUUGGUAGGGUAAAAGCCUACCAAGGCUUUGAUCAGUAGCUGGUCUGAGAGGAUGAACAGCCACACUGGGACUGAGAUACGGCCCAGACUCCUACGGGAGGCAGCAGUGGGGAAUAUUGCGCAAUGGGCGAAAGCCUGACGCAGCGACGCCGCGUGAGUGAAGAAGUCUUUAGGGAUGUAAAGCUCUGUCAAGAGGAACGAUUAUGACGGUACCUCUAAAGGAAGCCCCGGCUAACUACGUGCCAGCAGCCGCGGUAAUACGUAGGGGGCAAGCGUUAUCCGGAUUUACUGGGCGUAAAGAGAGCGUAGGCGGUUGGGCAAGUCAGAUGUUAAAUACUUCAGCUCAACUGAAGUCUGCAUUUGAUACUGAUUUACUAGAGGUCAGGAGAGGGAAGCGGAACUCACGGUGUAGCGGUGAAAUGCGUAGAUAUUGUGAGGAACACCAGUUGCGAAGGCGGCUUCCUAGCCUGAAUCUGACGCUGAGGCGCGAAAGCGUGGGGAGCGAACGGGAUUAGAUACCCCGGUAGUCCACGCUGUAAACGGUGUUCACUAGGUGUAGGAGGUAUCGACCCCUUCUGUGCCACAGAUAAUUCGUUAAGUGAACCGCCUGGGAAGUACGACCGCAAGGUUAAAAAUCAAAGGAAUUGACGGGGGCCCGCACAAGCAGUGGAGCAUGUGGUUUAAUUCGACGAUACGCGAAAAACCUUACCAGGGCUUGAAAUCUAUGGAAUUUUCUAGAAAUAGCGAAGUGCCCGCAAGGGAACCAUAAGACAGGUGGUGCAUGGCUGUCGUCAGCUCGUGUCGUGAGAUGUUGGGUUAAGUCCCGCAACGAGCGCAACCCCUGUCCCGUGUUGCCAGCACUUAUAGGUGGGAACUCACGGGAGACUGCCUGUGGAAAACAGGAGGAAGGUAGGGAUGACGUCAAGUCAUCAUGCCCCUUACGUCCAGGGCUACACACAUGCUACAAUGGCUGGUACAAUGGGUUGCCAAGCCGCGAGGUGGAGCUAAUCCCAUAAAACCGUCCUCAGUUCGGAUUGUAGUCUGCAACUCGACUACAUGAAGUUGGAAUUGCUAGUAAACGCAGAUCAGCACGCUGCGUUGAAUACGUUCCCGGGCCUUGUACACACCGCC
rnacentral:rRNA from 1 species